GUUCUUGUAGUUGAAUAAUAACGGUGGUUUUUCAUAUCAUUAGUCCUGGUUAAAAUCCGGGCAGGAAUU
rnacentral:tRNA from 1 species